rnacentral:rRNA from 1 species
UACGUAGGGUGCAAGCGUUGUCCGGAAUUAUUGGCGUAAAGAGCUCGUAGGCGGUUUGUUGCGUCGGCUGUGAAAUCCCGAGGCUCAACCUCGGGUCUGCAGUCGAUACGAGCAAACUAGAGUGUUGCAGGGGAGACUGGAAUUCCUGGUGUAGCGGUGAAAUGCGCAGAUAUCAGGAGGAACACCGGUGGCGAAGGCGGGGUCUCUGGG